UACAGGGGGGGCAAGCGUUGUUCGGAAUUACUGGGCGUAAAGGGCCAGUAGGCGGCCAACUAAGUCCGACGUGAAAUCCCCAGGCUUAACCUGGGAACUGCGUCGGAUACUGGAUGGCUUGAAUUCGGGAGAGGGAUGCAGAAUUCCAGGUGUAGCGGUGAAAAUGCGUAGAUAUCUGGAGGAAUACCGGUGGCGAAGGCGGCAUCCUGGACCGACAUUGACGCUGAAUGGCGAAAGCUAGGGGGAGCAAACGGGG
rnacentral:rRNA from 1 species